UACGGGGGGUGCGAGCGUUGUCCGGAAUCACUGGGCGUAAGGGGCGCGUAGGUGGUUUGAUAAGGGUGUGGUGAAAGUCCGGGGCUCAACCCCGGAUCUGCCGUGCCGACUGUCAAACUCGAGGACUGUAGAGGCAGACGGAAUUCCGGGUGUAGCGGUGGAAUGCGUAGAGAUCCGGAGGAAGACCGGUGGCGAAGGCGGUCUGCUGGGCAGUUUCUGACACUGAGGCGCGACAGCGUGGGGAGCGAACAGG
rnacentral:rRNA from 1 species